rnacentral:tRNA from 1 species
GGGGGCGUAGCUCAGUUGGUCAGAGCAGGGGACUCAUAAUCCCUUGGUCGCUGGUUCGAGUCCAGCCGCCCCCA